GAGGAUAUAGCUUGAUGGUAGAGUGCGAGCUUAGCAUGCAUGAAGUCCUGGGUUCAAUCCCCAAUAACUCCA
rfam:Camelus ferus unplaced genomic scaffold scaffold1370, whole genome shotgun sequence.